rnacentral:rRNA from 1 species
GAUGAACGCUGGCGGCGUGCCUAAUACAUGCAAGUCGAGCGAACAGACGAGGAGCUUGCUCCUCUGACGUUAGCGGCGGACGGGUGAGUAACACGUGGAUAACCUACCUAUAAGACUGGGAUAACUUCGGGAAACCGGAGCUAAUACCGGAUAAUAUAUUGAACCGCAUGGUUCAAUAGUGAAAGACGGUUUUGCUGUCACUUAUAGAUGGAUCCGCGCCGCAUAAGCUAGUUGGUAAGGUAACGGCUUACCAAGGCGACGAUGCGUAGCCGACCUGAGAGGGUGAUCGGCCACACUGGAACUGAGACACGGUCCAGACUCCUACGGGAGGCAGCAGUAGGGAAUCUUCCGCAAUGGGCGAAAGCCUGACGGAGCAACGCCGCGUGAGUGAUGAAGGUCUUCGGAUCGUAAAACUCUGUUAUUAGGGAAGAACAAAUGUGUAAGUAACUAUGCACGUCUUGACGGUACCUAAUCAGAAAGCCACGGCUAACUACGUG